rnacentral:tRNA from 1 species
GUGAGCGUAGCUCAACUGGUUAGAGCAUCGGACUGUGGAUCCGAAGGUUGGGGGUUCGAGACCCCUCGCUCACCCCU